rnacentral:rRNA from 1 species
CGUCAAGCUUCCAAGAAAAGCCCUAUACCCGUUAAGGCAUGACGGCCUGUACCCGAAACCGACACAGGUGGGGUGGUAGAGAAUACCGAGGGGCGCGAGAUAACUCUCUCUAAGGAACUCGGCAAAAUGGCCCCGUAACUUCGGGAGAAGGGGUGGCACCGCAAGGUGGUCGCAGUGAAGAGGCCCAGGCGACUGUUUACCAAAAACACAGGUCUCCGCUAAGUCGCAAGACGAUGUAUGGGGGCUGACGCCUGCCCAGUGCCGGAAGGUUAAGGAAGCUGGUCAGCGCAAGCGAAGCUAGCGACUGAAGCCCCGGUGAACGGCGGCCGUAACUAUAACGGUCCUAAGGUAGCGAAAUUCCUUGUCGGGUAAGUUCCGACCCGCACGAAAGGCGUAACGAUCUGGGCGCUGUCUCGGAGAGAGGCUCGGCGAAAUAGAAUUGUCUGUGAAGAUGCGGACUACGUGCACCCGGACAGAAAGACCCUAUGAAGCUUUACUGUAGCUUGGUAUUGUGCCCGGGCUCUGAAUGCGCAGGAUAGGUGGGAGGCUUUGAUCCAUUGCUUGUGGGUAGUGGUGAGCCAACGGUGAGAUACCACUCUUUCAGAGCUAGGGUUCUAACCCUCACCCGUUAUCCGGGGAGGGGACAGUAUCAGGUGGGCAGUUUGACUGGGGCGGUCGCCUCCUAAAAGGUAACGGAGGCGCGCAAAGGUUUGCUCAGGCUGGUUGGAAAUCAGCCGACGAGUGUAAAAGCAGAAGCAAGCUUGACUGUGAGACCAACAAGUCGAACAGGGACGAAAGUCGGCUUUAGUGAUCCGACGGUUCUGAGUGGAAGGGCCGUCGCUCAACGGAUAAAAGUUACUCUAGGAUAACAGGCUGAUCUCCCCCAAGAGUUCACAUCGACGGGGAGGUUUGGCACCUCGAUGUCGGCUCAUCGCAACCUGGGGCUGAAGUCGGUCCCAAGGGUUGGGCUGUUCGCCCAUUAAAGCGGUACGCGAGCUGGGUUCAGAACGUCGUGAGACAGUUCGGUCCAUAUCCGGUGCAUGCGUAAGAACAUUGACAGGAGUUCCCCCUAGUACGAGAGGACCGGGAGGAACGCACCUCUGGUGUACCAGUUAUCGUGCCAACGGUAAACGCUGGGUAGCCAUGUGCGGAGAGGAUAACCGCUGAAAGCAUCUAAGUGGGAAGCCCACCUGAAGAUGAGUGUUCUCAUGGCUUAAGCCAGUAAGGUCACGGGAAGAACACCCGUUGAUAGGCUCUACGUGGAAGCGCAGCAAUGCGUGAAGCGGAGGAGUACUAAUAGACCGAGGGCUUGACC